UUUUUAUUUACAUGAACCAGCUCACAUGCCAACAAAUGCAUCAUAGAGCCUGCUUUUCCUGAUGGGGAGAAUAUCAUCACUUAUUUCAUCAGUCUGGCCCAGGGAAGUGAAAAUAUUGGAUACCCUUGCUCGAGAAGCUGGAAGAAGCAAGGAAGUGGAUUUUCCCCUAGAACCCCCAGAAGGAACAUAGACCUGCUGAGACCUUGAUUAUAGCCUUUGGAGAAUCACUUUGGACUUUUGACCACCAGAACUAUAAUAUAAUAAUUUUGUGUUGUUUUAAUCAGCAAGUUUGUAGUAAUUUGUUACAGCAGCAAUUGGAAACAAAUAUAUUGAAUCAUAUGGUAACUCUAUGUUUAACCUUUCGAGGAACUGUCAGAACGUUUCCUAAAGCGGCUGCCCCAUUUUGCAUUCCCAUCAGCAGUCUAUGAGGGUUCCAAUUUCUCCACAUGCUCACAAGCACUUGUUAUUAUCUGUCUUUUUGAUUAUAGCUAUCCUAGUGGGUGUGAAGUGAUUUAUCAUUGUGGUUUUGAUUUGCAUUUAUCUAAUGGCUAAUGAUGCUGAACUUCUUUUCAUGUGCUUAUUGGCCAUUUGUAUGUCUUCUUUGGAGAAAUGUCUGUUCAGCUCCUUUGCCCCCUUCAUUGCACUGGAACAUGGGGUGUGUGUGUGUGCAUGCACAUGUGUGUGAUGUUAGAGGGAGCAGGACCAAUUCUGGGACAGUCCAGGAAGAGCCUUGUAUACCAUGCACCAGGGAUUUGGGAUAAAAUACUGAGAGUGAUAAGGGAAGUCAAUGACGGAUAUAAAGCCAGGUGGCGUCCUGAUCAAUUCUGUAUUUUAGGAAACAUUCUGAGGAGCCACUGGAGGAUACUGAGGGCUGAUGGAAGGAGGAGAUAGAGGACUAGUGGCUGAGAGAUAUUGGGCUACUGGAGUGAUGCAAUCAAGAAAUGACCAGGAUUAGAAACCAGGGCGGUGGUGGUAGGGCAAAGAAGAGUUUACAGAUUGAAGGAUUUUAGGGGAGAUAAUAAAAUCUACAGUAUUUUGUUGGAUGUAGGGGUUUAAGAGCAAAAGUAGCUUGAGAAAAUCCCAGCUAUCUGGUUUGGGCCAUUGAGUGGAAGGAGGUACAUUUUAUGGACAUAGAGAGCCCUGGAGCAGGAACAUUUACGGGCAGGUAGGAAACCAACAAUGGAUUUAGUUUUAACCAUGUUGACUUUGAGGUGUCUCUGAGGCAUCCAUGGGGAAAUGGGUUGUUUGACAUGAGUUUGAAAUUAAGGAGAGAGGUAUGGGCUGGACAGACACAUGUAGGCAAUACUAGGUCAAUUAGCUGAAGCUGUGGUGUGGCUGAGAUUACCUGGGGAGACUGUGUAGUGUGAGAAGAAAAGAAAGUUAGGGAUAGAAACAUCUUUUGAGGAAACAGAUAUGAAAGAGGAACCAAUGUAGGAGAUGCAGAGAGGUUGGCAGAAGAUUCUUUAUCUGCUGAGGUUUGGCAGUCAUAGAAACCAAGGCAACUCCAAAUUUCCAUUGUAUGCUCAAGUACCUAAGAACCAAGUUAACACAUGCUUCAGUGGUCUCCAAAAGGUUCCCCCAUUCCAACCUUAAGCUGAGAAGAACUGUUUCCAUUUUUAAUGACUCAAACGUUCAAAGAUAAUGCUCUUUGAUCUUGAAGUGCUUGAAGACUAAGCAUGGAAUGUAGUGGAGGCUUUUGCUUAUACUGACAUUGACUCUGGGGCAAAGCAGAAGUCCACUUUUAUGUAAGAGUCUCUGUUUAUAUUCUCCUGGAUGAGGCCUUCUAGCAGUUGUUAUUGACUUAUUUCCUUCAUCCUUUCAUAUUCUAACAUUUCUUAAAUUGGGUUAUGUUUUACAAUCAAGUGUUAUUUAAAUCAAUGAGAUAUUUUAGAAUUAAGAAAAUAGAGCAUUAAAGUUUAAAUCUCAUGUCAUUUGUGAACAUUUUUGCUUUUUAUAUUUUGCAGAGCUGCAGCUAUUAACAUUUAGCACACAGAGUGGAGUCACUUUAAUUGGCAACUCAUUUGCUGACUCUCACUUUUUUCUUCAAAGUGAUUCUAGCCUCUGGCCUCACUAAACUCCUUGCUAUUGCCAUAUCCAUGCUGAGCAACCUGCCUGCAUGCCCACAGUGCUCCCUCUUCCAGUCCUGUCUCUCCCUCUUGUCUGGCUGGGCCUCCAUCCAAGACUCAGAUCAAGUGUAUCCUCUUGUGGUGUUCCACCUCCCACUCCAGCCCAUUGGGUCCUCCUUCCUCUUCCCAUAUAUUCCUCCAUCAUUUGUUUAGUAAAUACUUAUCUAUCUAUGUGUCAAACUCAUUUGUCAACUCCUUGAGAUUUUUGUCUUGUUUAUUUUUGUAAACCUGGUACUUAGCUCAGAGACUUGCAUUCUAAUAAAUUAAUAAAUGUUUGUUGAAUAAGUAAA